AACAACUCACCUCGUUGUUUACAUUUUUGUUCUUUGGUCGUCGUCCAUAGAAAAGAAUCCCCAUCGUCAGGUCGUUUAUCUACUCCAAGCUGGCGUCUGUGAUAGGGUGAGGCAGCCAGGCAGGUAUGGUCUUUGGGCUCAUGUUGUGCUGAAUGGGGCAGGGUAGUUGUGGGGGGGGAAGCGCUCGUCUUAUGCUUGUUGAGAUUCGGCUGGGUGCAAGCAGCCAGGGCCUUGCAGCCAGAAAUUGUUCGUCCUGUAUGUUUGUGUGGAGAAGAAGUGGUGUGAGUAGAAAAGGAACAGCGAGGGGGUUGAUGCUAAUUUGUGUAGAUGUUCGUUUUCUUUUUCAGAUUUCUUCUAAGACCUGAAAAGUGCUAAGAUAUGAAAUCAGUUUGUUGGGUUCACAAACAUGAGUUCUCUAUGUUAAAAUAUUUGUUCUAGGUUAACUGAUACUUCUCUGUAUAAGUUGUGUUAAUGUUAAACAUAAUAAUACUUCUUUAAUCUAUUACAAUAAAUCUAAAGCACCAACAAUCAUAAAAUGUUAUGAGCACCUAGCUUAUGAUGAAUGGUUGAGUUGCUUCUAUUCGUAUCCUAAAUUUAGGUGUCCGAAAGGGCUAAGCCUAUGUUUCAUUAAGUCUGUGGAUGAUUACCUAGCUUAGGCGUUUAUAGGUCGUGUCUAGGGUUAUUAUUUUCUUGAGAUUUGAGCAAGCCCGGUUAAACCGAACGAACAUGAUUAUUGUGCUAGCGAGUCAUAGGUAUAUAGGAUUUACGUACGAAGUUUGUGAUGCUUUUUAAUCCUCUUCGGUAUAAUGAUAAUUAGUCGUGUGCUAUUCCUGUCUAUAUGCAUUCAUGUGCAUUAUGCAUUUCAUUUAGGCACGAUAAUUAAUCACGUGAUGCGGAAGACGACCCAAGUCGACCCCAGGAUAAUGCAGAGAUUGGACAUCUCCGCAAGACGAUGUUGUCAGUCGGAUAAAUCUGAAGAUGGAUAAUCUAAACAAGUGUGAGACCAAAAGCUGAUUGCCAAGUGGACGCCACCUAACAAACACUAACGUAGUGUUUAUUCCAGGCAAGCCUCGGUGCAUGCAACCCCUUCCUUGUGUUUUUAAAUAAUUUUUACACACUUUAAGUCUAGCGAAAUGUGCAUUAGGUUUAUAGGAGUUGCUUGGAAACCCUUUGAUGCAUUGUCUACCUUGAUAUCCAUACCUUUAUAGAUACUUCUGAUGAAGUAUCAAAAUAUGAUUUACAAAAAUUCUUAUCCCUGCUUAGAUCUUAUGGAUAGAGGUUGUCCUUUGCGUUAAUGCCUAGCUCAGGGGUUAUCUUGAGGAAGGAUGGCUUCUGCCUGCAAGAAUAUUUUCAUUGGGAGCAAUGGUGGGAUCUUACUGCAAAGUUCCCUAUAAUGCUCUUUUCAUCCUAAGGAAUACAAACAAUCCUAAGGAUGGAAGUACUUAAAUCGGGACUUGGGCUAGGAACAUGUGAUGUUCUACCGAGGUUGAUUAAGGAUUAUACUUAAUGUAGUCUUGAUGAUCGAGGAUCUUUUAACCGGUCACAUGCCUCGUCAUGGGUAAGCUUUGCCUCGGGCAGACUAAUACCAGAAUAAGAUAGCACACAAUGGGAGUGGAGAGAUGGCGAGAGUAGCGUGUACCCUCCGUGGCAAGAGGCUGGACGGUGGUGUAUCUGUACUCUCGGUUGGCGUGAACCUGAUCUGGUCUUAAGAACCCCGAUUGCAAGUUGACAUAUGCAAGGGUUAAGUGCUACAUAUGUCGUGUGAUUGGAGAUCCCUAGCUAGGUAUUAAUCGAUUCGGAUCGCCGUUACUUCUCGGACAUGAAGACUUGGUCAUUGACCUGCAAUCUAAGUCAUGGAUGGAAUCUUAAUGAGAAAAAAUCAUGUUGGAUUGAUUAAUGUGAUGGUGAAAUUAGACUAGAUGCAAACAAGGUCUAUUAAUACUUAAUCUAGCAUUAAAAUGUUGAAAGUAAGGACUCACUUUAGUAAGCUAUUUCUGCAAAAGUCUCUAAGUUGAUUCUUGCUAAAGCCUUUUCCUUGAUUCCUAUUUAACCAACAUAUCCUUGACAGUCUUUUCUUUAGUCGGGUAAGUCUUGCUUUGUACUUGCAUACUUAGGGUUUUACCCAUUGUUGGUGCAGGUUACGAGUCACUUGAUUGUGAUUGGUGUUAAGCGCCGGUGGGCACGGCCUUCUUAUAAGUCUAAGUACUUCUUCUAGACUUCUUAUUGAGGAUGGUCACUUAAGCUAGCAUAUAUUUCAUACUUAUAAUAAUUUUAUAACAUUUCAAAGUUUAUUGCUUUGAAUCACUUUGUAACCACACCGAUAAAUAUAAUGUAAAUUUGUUGAAACUUGUAACUUUUUGUAAUAAAGAAAUUCCACUGCA
rnacentral:lncRNA from 1 species